rnacentral:rRNA from 1 species
AUGCUGAAACAGUACAUACCGAGGUCAUCCCCCAUGCACGUGUUUGUUCGCCAAUACAACAAAUUCCUUGGGUCAAGGAUGAGCGAUGAGGCAAGGGAAUUCCAUCUAAAUGCAAAUAAAUCACGUACUUAUGAAUCCACAUAUGCAAUAGAGGAUGAUGCUGCAUCAAUAUACACACAUUCUGUUUUGCUGAAGUUCCAAGACGAGCUUUAUAAGUGUGGGAGUUAUGUAGUGACACCUGUGGUGCACGGUGCACAAUACAUGGUUAGUGUCACACCAUCCAAAGUAAAGGAUGCAACAAAGAGGAAGUGGAGAAAUGUCAAGAUCGAUGACGAUAGGCAGUUCAUAAACUGCGAUUGUGGGAUGUUCGACCAUGUCGGUAUGUUGUGCAGACAUGCAUUGAAGGUAAUGAUUCGUGAAGAUUUUCUGAAGAUCCCCUCUAAAAAUAUUUUGAAGCGAUGGACUAUAUGGGCAACCGGAUCUUAUCCAGCAGGCAUGGACAUGAGCAAUAACGGGCCACAUACAUAUGACACUAGUUAUCUAAAGAACCUCCUGCAUAUUGCUGUUGAGGAUCUCAUGAAUGCGAGUUCACAUGAUAAGAAGAGUUUAGAAGCUGCGGUAGAAGGGAUGGGCAAACUCACAGCUGCAGUACGGAAGAACACUAGUAUGACUGAAACCAUCCAUCGUCUGGAACCGCCACACAUCGAGAGUUUCGUCAACAUCCACGUCAACACGGUUCUCGCUCCUGAACGGGUGAAAAAAAGUGGAAGGCCAGCGUCCGUGAGUCCUAAGUCAAAGAUGGAUUAUGCUGCAGCAUCUGCUAAGAAGAAAAAUAAGAGUAAUAAAACUGCGAAGAAAAAGCCAUGUGGUGAGUUGAAGCCAAGGGAGCGUGCUCUAUCUUCCUUGUAUGAUAAUGACCAGACUACAGAUACCCCGUCUAAGGAGUUAGAAGAUGAAGUAUCGCCAAAUAUCCCCAGCAAGAAGAGGAAGGUAAUAUGUAGCACAUGCCACGAGCCUGGACACACACGUCUGAAAUGCACCAGAAGAGGCAUUGCACAAAACCUGUUCGAGUGCCUUCAAUUAUAA